UCCAACUUGGCAGAAAUAUGCAAUAAAUUUAGAAUUUAUCUAUGAUUUUUUAUCAGUUGGAAU
rnacentral:tRNA from 1 species